UUACAGAAAGCAUACUUUCAAACUAGUCAUCUGAUUUGUAUCAGAAUUACCCUUAACAAAAUGUUCUGGACUAGUUGGCUAUUUAAGCUAGAGACAUUCAAAUGUGGUCAAGUCGGUUAAUGCAUUUCCCCAUAUAUCCAGCUGAUGUUCACUUUUGUGUUCAGCAGAGAGUAUUCAGAGGUGAUUUUGGCAGCACACAGCCUCAUCUCUGUGCUGACCCAGACUAUGAGUCAGGUUCAGAGUCCAGUGCCACUGCAUCAAUUUCAUGGUCUGGGGCAUCAUCAGCUGACAGAGGUGCAAGGACAGGCCCAGAGACAGCUGCAUUCCUCCAGUAACCAGGAGAUGGCCAGGUCCUUUCUGAACCUCUUCUGGAGGUAGGCUGCCUCUGGAAAAAGAACAAUGAACCCUUCUUCCAGAACACCAGGCAAGAAUACAAAGGCCUGUAAACCUUUUAUUCAGUGUACACCUAAAUAAGUUGUGAGGCUUCCUGGACAUCCUUCAGAAGCAGCCAAGUCUCUGCAAGAGUCUUUCUGUCCCUGGGGAAGAUUGCAGUUAGUGAAUUUGUUUUAUUACUAGUUAUGUUGUAUGAGACAGUCAGAUUUAUUUAUACAUUUAAUUUAUCCUUUUUCAGCCGGAUGCUGACUAUGUAGUCGGCCUCAUCGCUCCUGAAAUGAGCAGGAGAGGAACCUUCAGGACUGCCAUAGUAGGAAACUUUAAGGACUUUGUUCAAGAUGUGGAAACUGCAGGAGGAAUGGAGGAAAAGGCAGUGCACAGUGAACUUGGAUAGGAAGAAGAUGGACAAGUGGAGCCAUCCAGUCUAACAGUUUUCACUAUCCCUAAAGUUAUGCCAUGGGUCGGGGACACAAGUAUUUUAUACAAAUACUUUUUAAAUGUAGGCCUUACAGACACUCACUGUAAAUAAGAUGAAUAAAACCCAAUAUUUUACCCUUUUGACCUCCAUACAGCAAAGUGGCACAUCAUAAAUUAUGCUGAGCUGCAGGUCACCAGUCUAUGGUCCAUGAAGUGUCUGUCAUGGUGCAUUGUCCAGAAACAUGCAUAUAUUUUCCAUAAAAUGUUAGAAUUUUCAAACUAGUAUUCCUUGGGAUGGCAGAUAAAAAGUAAUCCCUUACUUGUGAACACAGAAUCCUACUUAUUA